AUUUAAAUAGUUUAAAUUAUAAAACAUAAUAUUGAAGAUAUUAAGAAAACAUAAAGUUUUUAAAUA
rnacentral:tRNA from 1 species